GGGCGUACAGGGCUCGCAGGCGGUUUCUUAAGUCUGAUGUGAAAGCCCCCGGCUCAUCCGGGGAGGGUCAUUGGAAACUGGGAAACUUGAGUGCAGAAGAGGAGAGUGGAAUUCCACGUGUAGCGGUGAAAUGCGUAGAGAUGUGGAGGAACACCAGUGGCGAAGGCGACUCUCUGGUCUGUAACUGACGCUGAGGAGCGAAAGCGUGGGGAGCGAACAGGAUUAGAUACCCUGGUAGUCCACGCCGUAAACGAUGAGUGCUAAGUGUUAGGGGGUUUCCGCCCCUUAGUGCUGCAGCUAACGCAUUAAGCACUCCGCCUGGGGAGUACGGUCGCAAGACUGAAACUCAAAGGAAUUGACGGGGGCCCGCACAAGCGGUGGAGCAUGUGGUUUAAUUCGAAGCAACGCGAAGAACCUUACCAGGUCUUGACAUCCUCUGACAACCCUAGAGAUAGGGCUUCCCCUUCGGGAACAGAGUGACAGGUGGUGCAUGGUUGUCGUCAGCUCGUGUCGUGAGAUGUUGGGUUAAGUCCCGCAACGAGCGCAACCCUUGAUCUUAGUUGCCAUCAUUCAGUUGGGCACUCUAAGGUGACUGCCGGUGACAAACCGGAGGAAGGUGGGGAUGACGUCAAAUCAUCAUGCCCCUUAUGACCUGGGCUACACACGUGCUACAAUGGACAGAA
rnacentral:rRNA from 1 species